CUAGAGCCGACGAAGGUCGUGACAAGCUGCGAUAAGUNGCGGGGAGAGGCACGAAUCUCUUUGAUCCGCGAAUUGCCGAAUUGGACCUCCUGACAUUAGUCAUUCCUCUGAAUUGUAGGAAAGGGAACCCCCCGAACUGAAGCAUCUCAGUAGGGGGAGGAAAAGAAAUCAAUGAGAAUUCCGUGAGUAGUGGCGAAUGAAAACGGAAUAGGACAAACCGAAUCUCCUUGGGAAACCUUGGAGAGAUGUGGAGUAUGGACAUUAGUUGCCUAAGUCCGGGAAGUAGAAGUCGCCCUGGAACGGCGCACCAUAGAGGGUGAAAGUCCCGUAUACGUACCGGAUAUGGCCAUGUAGUGUAUCCUGAGUAGCGUGCGUUGGAUAUCGCGCGUGAAUGUGGGAGGCAGAGACUUCCAAUCCUAAAUACUACUCGAGACCGAUAGUUGACAAGUAGCGUGAGCGAAAGCUGAAAAGUAUCCUUAGCGGGAUGUGAAAAGACCCUGAAACCAGUCGGGAACAAGCUGAAUAGGCGUGAAAGCGAAGAUAUGAGCAGCGUCUAUUCGUGCGUUUCGAAAAAUGCCCCUGGGAGUUCUGAUCAUUGGCGAGGUUAAGCAGUUGAUCUGCGNAGCCGNAGGGAAACCGAANAGUCCGCAGCCGCUUAGCGNGAGGGACUGGGUGUGCUCGCCCGGAGUCAAUGGUGGGAGACCUGAAGCCCGUCGAUCUAUGCCUGACCAGAUUGAAGCCCGNUGAAAANUGGGUGGAGGAUCAAACCGUUGCUGAUGUGCAAAUCGCUCGGANGAGUUUGGUAUAGGGGUGAAAGUCCAAUCGAGAUGGGCAAUAGCAGGUUCCGCGCGAGACUACUCGUAGGUAGAUCUCUGUGAAGGUAGAAUGCGAUGUAGAGCACUGAUUGUAUGUUUAGGGGGAGCAAUCCCUCGGCACGCUGUCAAACUCCGAAGUUGUGUUCGCCGUAGAAGCAGGGAGUGAGCCACGGUGGGUAAGCUACCGUGACGAAAGGUGAAUAAACCAGCUCAGCGUUAAGGUCCCAAAAUUUCAGUUAAGUGUUAAUCACAAACGGCGUCCGUGGCCGAAGACAACCAGAAGGUGGGCUUAGAAGCAGCCAUCCUUGAAAGAGUUCGUAACAGAUCACUGGUCAAGCUUGCGGGCCCGUAAAAUGGACGGGGCUCAAACUGAAUACCGAUACGCUGACCCUCCGAAAGGAGAUGGGGUAGCGCGGCGAUGUGCUCGGGUAGAAGCGAGGUCGUAAGGUCUCGUGGACCGUGUACAUAUGAGAAUCCAGGGAAGAGUAGCAGCAUAGUGUGGUGAGAAUCCGCACCACCGAAGGGGUAAGGGUUCCUCGGCAAUGUUUUUCAGCCGAGGGUUAGCCGGUCCUAAGGGCAUUCUUAACCGAAAUGUCCGAAUGGGAAAUGCGUUAAUAUUCGUAUGCCCCUCUACAAUAUAUGGUGACGGCUCGGGCUAGUUCGUGCAUUCCUGUCAUGGGAUGUCGAAGCGUUCGAUAACCGAUCUGAGAACCGUCAUGGUGAGAAGAUUGGGAAGGCGUGAGCAAAAGACGAAUGAUGCCUGGGUCCCAUGAAAAGCCGUAGAGGUGACCGUACCUAGAACUGACACAGGUACCCAAGGUGAGUAGCCUAAGGUGUGACGGGCAAAGUACCGCGAAGGAACUCGGCAAAAUCGCUCUGUAACUUCGGGAGAAGGAGUGCCAGCUUNGAGANAAGCUGGUCGCAGUGACCAGAGGACUCCGACUGUUUAAUAAAAACAUAGGCGACUGCUAGAUCGAAAGGUUGUGUAUAGUCGCUGAAUCCUGCUCAGUGCUGGUAUCUGAAAUCGGGUUACAACCUGACGAAGGACCGGUAAACAGCGGGGGUAACUAUGACCCUCUUAAGGUAGCGUAAUACCUUGUCGCUUAAUUGGCGACUUGCAUGAAUGGCACAACGAGAGUC
rnacentral:rRNA from 1 species